CAGCAGGUUUGAGUUGAGCGCAGCGAAACAACGGAGCCGCUCGCGGCGACGGCCCGAAGGGCGAGCGAAGCGAGUCAUCCUGCACGACCCACCA
rnacentral:sRNA from 3 species